ensembl:snRNA U4 U4 spliceosomal RNA
AGCUUUGCACAGUGGCAGUAUCAUAUAUAGCCAAUGAGGUUUAUCUGAAGCACAAUUAUUGCUAAUUAAACACUAUCCCUAAAACCCCACCAUGAAGACUUAAAAGUGCUGUGAUUUUUUUUCAAUCACUAUAUGGA